rnacentral:tRNA from 1 species
GGGCCCUUAGCUCAGGUGGUUAGAGCAGCGGACUCAUAAUCCGUCGGUCCCAGGUUCGAAUCCUGGAGGGCCCA